AAAUGACUAUAAAGGAGAAGAACAAAAAAAAGAACAACAUGCAAAACAAAAAUACGGAGAAACAAUUUGUAAGAGAUGACAAUUUGUAUAAGGAAUCGGAGAUGUCUUCGGACGGCGAUCCGCCUUCCCCUAUAAUCAUUUUAAC
ensembl:ncRNA F32A6.12 ncRNA